UACGAAGGGGGCUAGCGUUGCUCGGAUUUACUGGGCGUAAAGAGCGCGCAGGCGGUCGUUCAAGUCGAGUGUGAAAGCCCCCGGCUCAACUGGGGAGGGUCACUUGAUACUGAUCGACUCGAAGGCAGGAGAGGGAAGCGGAAUUCCCGGUGUAGUGGUGAAAUGCGUAGAUAUCGGGAGGAACACCAGUGGCGAAGGCGGCUUCCUGGCCUGUUCUUGACGCUGAGGCGCGAAAGCUAGGGGAGCAAACGGG
rnacentral:rRNA from 1 species